AGUGAACGCUGGCGGUAGGCCUAACACAUGCAGGUCGAACGGCAGCACAGUAAGAGCUUGCUCUUACGGGUGGCGAGUGGCGGACGGGUGAGGAAUACAUCGGAAUCUACUUUUUCGUGGGGGAUAACGCAGGGAAACUUACGCUAAUACCGCAUACGACCUACGGGUGAAAGCAGGGGAUCUUCGGACCUUGCGCGAUUGAAUGAGCCGAUGUCGGAUUAGCUAGUUGGCGGGGUAAAGGCCCACCAAGGCGACGAUCCGUAGCUGGUCUGAGAGGAUGAUCAGCCACACUGGAACUGAGACACGGUCCAGACUCCUACGGGAGGCAGCAGUGGGGAAUAUUGGACAAUGGGCGCAAGCCUGAUCCAGCCAUACCGCGUGGGUGAAGAAGGCCUUCGGGUUGUAAAGCCCUUUUGUUGGGAAAGAAAAGCAGCAGGUUAAUACCCCGCUGUUCUGACGGUACCCAAAGAAUAAGCACCGGCUAACUUCGUG
rnacentral:rRNA from 1 species